GUAAGUAAGCUAUGAUCCAGAGAUUUCCGAAUGGGGGAACCCAAUAUCUUUUAUAGGAUAUUACUUUUCAGUGAAUACAUAGCUGAUUAGAGGUAGACGCAGAGAACUGAAACAUCUUAGUACCUGCAGGAAGAGAAAGAAAAUUCGAUUCCCUGAGUAGCGGCGAGCGAAACGGGAAGAGCCCAAACCAACAAGCUUGCUUGUUGGGGUUGUAGGACUCCAAUAUGGUAGUCUGUUAGUAUAGUUGAAGGAUUUGGAAAAUUCCGCUAAAGAGGGUGAAAGCCCCGUAGACGAAAUGCUGACAACACCUAGGAGGAUCCUGAGUACGG
rnacentral:rRNA from 1 species